rnacentral:rRNA from 1 species
GUCACAGCCUUAUCAUUCUGCUGCCCAAAACUGGUUACUCACUGAAGCCAUGCAGGGCUAAGCCUGGUCAGCACCUUGAUGGGAGACCACUUGGGAAUAACUAAGUUGCUGUUGAAG